rnacentral:lncRNA from 1 species
UUUUGAGAGUAGAUGUUGUAUAGGGUGAGGUUUUGGAGAGUUCAUGAUGUAUAUUCAUUUGAGAAAAGAAUGCAAGUUGUAUUAAAUGAUUAAAGUUUAAAAUGUUAUCGAAAGAGGUUAAAUGUUUCAAUGAGGUCUCAAUUAGCUAAGUUUCUCUCUUUUGUAUACUUGUAUGGUUUUACUUGUAUCGCUUGCUCUAGUUGGUUGUAGCACUGUUUGUGCUCUCGUUCAUCGUUGUUUGAUUGUGUAUGUAUUCAAGUUGUAUUCCUGGGGACUUGUUGUACACAAUCUGUUGCUUAGCCUUGGGCGGACAGGGGAAACUCCGUCCGUUCGGCGGUCGCGCUGCCGCG